rfam:Picea glauca, whole genome shotgun sequence.
ACAUGCCUACAACAUAGUGUUAAUUCACUUGAUCCCAUUAGAACUCCGCAUUUAAGUGUGCUCGGGCUAGAGAAGUACUGGGAUGGGUGACUACCCGGGAAGUCCUAGUGUUUUACAUGCC